rnacentral:lncRNA from 1 species
GUUCAAUCCCUGUACCAAAAUAAAAAAAAAAAAAAAAAAAAAAAAAAAACAAGAACAAAAUAAAAACAAUGCUCACAUCACACAGCAGUAACCACCCUCAGGUUUUCUUGCAUCUUCCAGUGUUUCUGAAGUUCACCCUCAGGCACAGGCUCACAUGCACAAUUACACACGCGUGCGUUUAAGUUUUCAAUAUAGCGUGACACCCUUACUGUGCCUAGCAUUUAAAAAAUUUAGAAACAGGGCCAUGGAAACUUCUCUCCAUUGUAACUAACGGGAAAGGACUGUACUGCCGGGGUGGCGGUGCACUCCUGUAAUCUCAGUACUUGGGAGGCUGAGGCAUCAGGACCGCUGUGAGUUCAAGGCCAGCCUGACCUACACAGUGAGACCCUGCCUCAAAAACGACACAGCAAGAAAAAUAAAGACAUAAAAUAAAAUGACUGUGCCAUGUUCCUUCUGUUAUAAAGCUUAUCACUUACCAAUCUUCAACUUUGUUUUCGUCUUUUGAGACAGCACCUCGCUUGGAGCCCUGCUGGCCUUCCUCAGGACAGUCCUCCUGCCUCAGCCUCCGAAUGCUGGCCUUAGGGCAUGGCCACCAUGUCUGGCUCAGUAUUCAGUGAUUAGGGAUCCAGACUGUUCUAAUAAACAGCACUACAGUGGAGGCCCCGCCUCUGCCCUGGUAGGAGCAUCUGUCUACCCAGCUGGUCUCUGACCUUCAGAGCAGGGUCUGCAUCCCUCAGCUCGGUGCCCCGAGCUUGGCCUGGUCCUGCUCAUCCCACACUGGUGCAUUUCUCAGCGUGUGCCUGCAGCAGCUGGGGAAGGUGCCACCCUCCAGCUUGGGAGCGCGGCCCUUUGUUCCCGCCCUGCUCUUCGUCCACCACGAGGGCCUCCCAGGACCCCUGGCUGCCACCUUCUAGGCUCUAGGUCAUUCCGGACUCCCGACGCUGCCAGCCCCUCGGUGAACGUGAGCGCCAUUGGCGUCCGUGGCCUCUGUUUCCGUGGCAACCCAGUAACCAUUAAUUUUCAAUUAAAGGAGACAAAAAGCUCAAUGACAGCUCCAGGUCCGCUGAAGAUGUCAAGAAUGUGUAUUAAUAUACAGCACGAGAGCAUAAUUGUGUGUCCAUCUUCCAGAGCAGCGAAAAAUGGAGGGAUAAUUACCAGCUCGAAAGCCACUCUGUAAUUUAGUUCUUACUGUCGCCAAGCCCUGCACAUUAGCAUAAAUUAAAAGCAGAGUUUAUUGUUAU